UGGGGAAUUUUGGACAAUGGGGGAAACCCUGAUCCAGCCAUCCCGCGUGUGCGAUGAAGGCCUUCGGGUUGUAAAGCACUUUUGGCAGGAAAGAAACGUCAUGGGUUAAUACCCCGUGAAACUGACGGUACCUGCAGAAUAAGCACCGGCUAACUACGUGCCAGCAGCCGCGGUAAUACGUAGGGUGCAAGCGUUAAUCGGAAUUACUGGGCGGAAAGCGUGCGCAGGCGGUUCGGAAAGAAAGAUGUGAAAUCCCAGAGCUCAACUUUGGAACUGCAUUUUUAACUACCGGGCUAGAGUGUGUCAGAGGGAGGUGGAAUUCCGCGUGUAGCAGUGAAAUGCGUAGAUAUGCGGAGGAACACCGAUGGCGAAGGCAGCCUCCUGGGAUAACACUGACGCUCAUGCACGAAAGCGUGGGGAGCAAACAGG
rnacentral:rRNA from 1 species